AAAAUCUUUCUAGGAGAAGAAAAAAAUCUGAAUAAAUAAUUUUAUUAAAUGUGUGCAUACUCAUGUGAAGAAUAGCGUGGACAUAAAUUUGGGGAUUGAUUGAAUCCCAAGUAGCACAGGAGAUGUAUCCUUGAAGCAAGUCUUCAUCAAGGAGUAGGUAUCACCAUUCCCACUUGAGACUGGACAGUUAGUUGAUAUGUUGCUGAAGUCCUCAGGAUGAUGCCUUGGCAUCAACUGCAUUCUUGUAGGCCACAGAGAGGAAGUUGCUAAGGUCAUCUGUCACCUUUGUGGCAGAAGACCAGUUCAUAAUGGAAACUGGUCUACUGAGCCAGAGAGACUCCCUUCAUGGCUGCCUCUGGUCCUUCUUAUCAUUCUUAUGCUUGAUCUAACAGUAUCUUUCCUUCCACCCUAGGACUACUGCUGUCCAGUAGGUUCUGCUGUGUCUCUAAGCAUAUGCAACAGGAAGUGUGGAAUUUCAUCCUGACUGCCAAACCUAUAGACCCGUGAAGACUUCAGACCCACCACCGAGGCAAGGCAAGCAACCUUUCAUAGACUACUUCAUCAGCACCCACAAUUGUGAGAAAAGGUUUUGGAAGACCAUCAUUCCUCCAUGUCAAAUUUGAAAAUAUUGUUCCCAAAUUGACUCCUUGCUAGCUUGAGUAGCCAAAAUCUGAGUCACAUGAAGAAGAAAUGAAUAACACCGGUAAUGAUAAUGAUAAUGAUGAUGAUGAUAUCAAUGAUGGAAUAUGGAGGAGGCAAGAGAAGACUGGUUUAGAAACAAGCUUUAAACAUGGCAAGACAGCCUCCUGAAAACCAGGCACAUAUCUCAUGUGAUAACGCGAAGAAUGAUGUUUUUCUUAAAAGAAUCAUGGAAAUCUGUUUUCUCUGUUUUAUAAUGAAAUUUCACCAUGGCUUUCUCUUUAGUGCUCUCUGAAGUCAUUGCUAUAUUGCUCUUUGAGGAGAAGAAGGUAAUUCUGAAUCCUAGUAACACUAUAAGCACAUAUUAGGACUGCAAACUUAAACUCCAGAACUAAUAGACUGAUAAAAGGUAGGCCCAUGACAUAGAGAGAAAAGAGAAAUAGUAAAGAAAGAGCCCAAUUAUUGUCCAGAAAAUACACCUGGGAAACAAGUCUUAAAAAUUAGUUAAGGCUUCGUAUGUGUCUGUACCUGUUUGUUUCUAUUCAACUUGCCUUUAUUGACAACUUAUCAUGUGUCAGGCACUCUUAUUCAUGCUGGUAAUGUAAACAUAAGUAAGU
rnacentral:lncRNA from 1 species